CUCACCCAGGUAUGACAUUUACUUUUUUCGCUUCGAACAUACUCUGUUCACACAUUUUACUACUCUAACAUUGCUUUCCCUCACUUUAAACUAACUUGCCUCUUUGUACGCUAGCUACAAUACAUUGCCUCUCCAGUGCAAACCUUCUGAAUCAACCAUUCAAUCCAGUUUUCCUGUUGCAAAUUGAAGAGAUACAUAUUAACAGACAACAACAUACCCAUGAUUGCACUCCAUGCCGAUUACAAACAAACAUUUUUAGGCAAAACCUUUGACCAACCAAACUAAAUCAGCUUUCCUAUUUCACCAAUAUCCAUUCAUUUUGUUCCACAUAUUUCAGGUC